GGAUGCGAUCAUACCAGCACUAAAGCACCGGAUCCCAUCAGAACUCCGAAGUUAAGCGUUCUUGGGCGAGAGAAGUACUAGGACUGUCUCUUAUACACAUCUA
rnacentral:rRNA from 1 species